rnacentral:rRNA from 1 species
UACGUAGGGUGCAAGCGUUGUCCGGAAUUAUUGGGCGUAAAGAGCUCGUAGGCGGUUUGUCACGUCGGAUGUGAAACCCUGAGGCUCAACCUCAGGCCUGCAUUCGAUACGGGCAGACUAGAAUUCGGCAGGGGAGACUGGAAUUCCUGGUGUAGCGGUGAAAUGCGCAGAUAUCAGGAGGAACACCGGUGGCGAAGGCGCUCUGCUGGACCAUAACUGACACUCAGGGACGAAAAGCUAGGGGAGCGAAUGGG